UUAAGUUCAGCGGGUAUCCCUACCUGAUCCGAGGCAAGUCAUAAAAGUAGCUUGAUGGACGCUGAUCCGCCGGGUCUCCGAGAAGCGCAAAUGUGCUGCGCGAGGAGCCGGCACGACCGCCGCCAAUGACUUUGAGGCGAGUCCGCGCUUCGAGAGCGGGACAAACGCCCAACACCAAGCAUAGCUUGAGGGUGUAAAUG
rnacentral:misc_RNA from 1 species